rnacentral:misc_RNA from 1 species
GGCCCUCCGGGGCAAUCGUGCACGCCUUUGUCUCAACUCUCAACUCAACCCCCCCCUGUGUGCAUCCUCGCGUGGGUCCCGAGCGUCGGUUCGCUCGAGGCUCGCGUCCUUUUCUACAAAAACCUCCCGGGUACGUCGGAACGUGAGUCGCUGUAGAAGCGAAUCGUAGUACAACUUUCAACAACGGAUCUCUUGGCUCUCGCAUCGAUGAAGAACGCAGCGAAAUGCGAUAAGUAAUGUGAAUUGCAGAAUUCAGUGAAUCAUCGAAUCUUUGAACGCACCUUGCGCCCCUUGGUAUUCCGAGGGGCACGCCUGUUUGAGUAUCAUGAAAUUCUCAACCCGACCUCCUUUUGAAAGGGGGGGGGAGGGCUUGGAUUUUUGGAGGACUUUGCCCGUUUCCCUUUGUUGUGGGACCUGGCUCCUCUCGAAUGCAUAUGGGUGGGGCUUCGUCUGCCUCUCGGCGUGAU